AGGGCGCAUGGCGGAUGCCUUGGCUCUCGGAGGCGAUGAAGGACGUGAUAAGCUGCGAUAAGCUUUGGGGAGGUGCAAAUGACCUUUGAUCCAGAGAUUUCCGAAUGGGACAACCCAAUAUCUUGAAGAGGUAUUAUCCAACGUUGUUGGAGGCUAACGCAGGGAACUGAAACAUCUUAGUACCUGCAGGAAAAGAAAAUAAACAAUGAUUCCCCCAGUAGUGGCGAGCGAACGGGGAACAGCCCAAACCAUCCAUGUUACGGCAUGGGUGGGGUUGUAGGACUACGCCGUUGCAUGAAGACAUCAGAGAAGAACUUUCUGGAAAGAAAGACCAUAGAGCAUGACAGUUGCGUAUUCGAAUGUUGUCGAAGCAUAGUAGUAUCCUGAGUAGCGCGGAGCACGAGGAAUUCUGCGUGAAUCUGCCGGGACCAUCCGGUAAGGCUAAAUACUCCCGAGAGACCGAUAGCGAACCAGUACCGUGAGGGAAAGGUGAAAAGCACUUCGAACAGAAGAGUGAAAUAGUUCCUGAAACCGUGCGCCUACAAGCGGUCGGAGCUCGUUAAUGAGUGACGGCGUGCCUUUUGCAUAAUGAACCUACGAGUUGCCUUUGCCGGCAAGGUUAAGUGUGACGACACACGUAUCCGAAGCGAAAGCGAGUCUGAACAGGGCGUAUAGUCGGCAGUGGCAGACGCGAAACCAAGUGAUCUACCCUUGGCCAGGUUGAAGGCUGGGUAACACCAGCUGGAGGACCGCACCAAUAAGCGUUGAAAAGCUUCUGGAUGAGCUGAGGGUAGGGGUGAAAGGCUAAUCAAACUUGGAGAUAGCUCGUACUCCCCGAAAUGCAUUUAGGUGCAGCCUUGCGGGUUACUGAUGUGAGGUAGAGCGACUGAUAAGAUGCGAGGGCUUCACCGCCUAUCAAGUCUUGACAAACUCCGAAUGCGCAUCAGUUCUACCGCAGGAGUGAGGGCAUGGGUGCUAAGGUCCGUGCCCGAGAGGAGAAGAAUCCGGACCACCUGCUAAGGUCCCGAAAUGACAGCUAAGUUAAACUAACGAAGUCUGACUGCUAAGACAGCUAGGAUGUUGGCUUGGAAGCAGCCAUUCAUUUAAAGAGUGCGUAACAGCUCACUAGUCGAGGAGUCGGGCGUGGAUAAUAAUCGGGUAUUAAGUUGUCUACCGAAGCAGUGGGAUCAUUGAUAUGAUCGGUAGGGGAGCAUUCCAGUCAGCGUCGAAGGCGUACCGUGAGGUAUUCUGGAGCGUCUGGAAAAGCAAAUGUAGGUAUAAGUAACGAUAAAGGGGGCGGGAAACCCCCUCGCCGAAAGACUAAGGUUUCCUGAUCAACGCUAAUCGGAUCAGGGUCAGUCGGGUCCUAAGGCUCAGCCGAACGGCGAUGCCGAUGGCAGAAACGGUUAAUAUUCCGUUACUACCUUCAGGAGUGACGUGGAGACGCAGUAGUGACAGUGCCGCCAUCUGACGGAAUAGAUGGUUGAAGGGUGUAGGAGUCGAUCAUGGCAGGCAAAUCCACCAUGAGAUCCGAACCUGACAGUAUGCCGCGUCCUUCGGGACAAGGCAAUAGUGCGCGUAAGCAUGCUGCCGAGAAAAUCCGCUAAACUUAAUCCUGCAGGUACCCGUACCGCAAACGGACACACGUAGUCGGGAUGAAUAUUCUAAGGCGCUUGAGUGAUUCACGGUUAAGGAACUAGGCAAACUGACCCUGUAACUUCGGGAUAAAGGGUCCUCUUUUAUGGGAGGGCGCAGAGAAUCGGUCCAGGCAACUGUUUAACAAAAACACAGGGCUGUGCCAAAUCGAAAGAUCCAGUAUACAGCCUGACACCUGCCCGGUGCUGGAAGGUUAAGAGGAGAUGUCAUCGAUAAGAGAAGCGUUGAAUUGAAGCCCCAGUAAACGGCGGCCGUAACUAUAACGGUCCUAAGGUAGCGAAAUUCCUUGUCGGGUAAGUUCCGACCUGCACGAAUGGUGUAAUGAUCUGGACGCUGUCUCAACCGUGAGCUCAGUGAAAUUGUAGUAUCGGUGAAGAUGCCGAUUACCCGCGAUGGGACGAAAAGACCCCGUGAACCUUUACUAUAGCUUAUCAUUGAAUCUGGGCACGUGAUGUGUAGGAUAGGUCGGAGGCUUUGAAGCAGGUACGCCAGUAUUUGUGGAGCCGCUGUUGAAAUACGACCCUUUAUUUGUUUGGAUUCUAACCCGUGGAACGGGGACAUUGAUUGGUGGGUAGUUUGACUGGGGUGGUCGCCUCCAAAAGCGUAACGGAGGCUUCUAAAGGUGCCCUCCGGCCGAUUGGUAACCGGCCUUAAAGAGUGUAAUGGCAUAAGGGCGCUUGACUGGGAGACUGACAAGUCGAUCAGGUAGGAAACUAGAGCAUAGUGAUCCGGUGUUUCCGUAUGGAAGGGACAUCGCUCAAAGGAUAAAAGGUACUCCGGGGAUAACAGGCUGA
rnacentral:rRNA from 1 species